rnacentral:lncRNA from 1 species
GCGGGAGUAUUUUAAGUAUUUCAGCUUCUCAGAGAGAGGUAUGAAUUUCUUCGUCUUUCAUUGUUAGAACGAAGAAACGAAUUCACGUCUUCUCUGGCCUAACUCUGGUAAUAUUUUGCUUGAAAAAAAUUGUCUUGUACGUUGUAUCAUUAAACGUUUACUGCAAUCGCGUAUUGUUGGUCGCCAAGCUUGAGAUUCAAGCCGGUGCAUUGCAAGUAUAAUGGCGAUUUGAAAUGGAUUUGUCUUUGAUUUGAUUUUGUGGAAUCGAAGAGUUGGACUACUCUGGUUUCUUCCACCGCUUGAUUUGCUACGUGUAAUUCUUAGCUUACUAGGGAUUUAAAUCUAAUGUAUUUGAACACUAAUUCUCAUUGUGCUAAAAUGUGUGUUUUUGGUUAUCUGGAAGCUAAUACAGGGGUCUUGCUAGUUACAAAACUUCUCUCUCUUUCCCUACACAUCUCUUGUACAUCCUGUUCAAGUGAAAAAUUUAUGUACAAAUUCACUCAUGACUGAAGUCUGUAGUGAUUUUAACUUCUUAAUAAACAGUAUAUCUCAGUUAUAUGUAGAAUUUGUUUUGUUAUUCUGAGUUAUAAAUAAUUUUUUUUGGCUACUAACAAUCUAGCAGUGCCGUUCUUGGAACCCUUAUCAAAAUUGUAAAGGCCUGGCAAGGGAGCCAUACUGGGGCAGACAUAAGGAAGGAACACAGAAGCUUGUGUCCAAGUCUUUAAGAUUAUUUUAAGAUUGUCUUUGUCAAUAAGAAUGGUGGCUGCUGCUGUGAAAAAUCAGCUUACUGUUCGUUUUUGUGAAAGAUUGAAAAUUCCUCAAGAGUCAGAAGAUACAAGAGUUCUUUUGUGUCUUGUUUGGAGGUUUUGAAGCUACACUAACAUAUUUUACAUUUGAAAACUCAAUAUUCUAAACCAUAAUUUCAAGUAAUAUCUUAUAAUCAUGUGCGAAAUUCAUGACCCUGUUUGGACCAUUGUGAUAGUUGAGUGCUAAGUUUAUCCUCUUGGCUGUUUUCUUGCUUGCUAGAACUUAAGAGUGAUCGCAAUUGUAUGACUUUUGCAAAGAAUAAUAAGAUAAUAUAACUUGUUAAAUACUUAAUUAGUUGGGUGAUUAAAUAUGUUAAAAACUAAACUGAUAGAAAACUGCCGCACUUUAUUAUUUAUAUUUUUAAUAUAUCCCCAUGCAUGUAAGUGAGACAACAGAUUUAGUAUGUGAACACAAACUCAAAUUGACGAGUCGAAUAAGCACAUAUAUAACAGGUUUUGGGUAGAGUCACAAACGAGUCUGAAAUUUAUUUCUCUACUCCAUUGUUAUGUUAGAUAAUUGAUUGCCUCAUUAAUUAUUUUAAAGUUUUAAGUUAAUAGAAAAAGACUUUAACUUUAUUGUUUAUGUUCUAAUAGACAUAAUAACCAGUUAGAAUAUUACUGUUUGCGAUAUUUCAGAAUAGAUAGUCUAUUUACUAAGUCCUCCAUGGAAUUUUACUGUUCUCUUCAUUGUGCUUGUUGAUGUGAAAAUUUCAAUGGAUGAAAUAUUUCUUAACAUGUGUCAUCUGUCCAUAGAAUUAUAGUUUCAAUCUCAAAUGAGUACAUGGUGCUGGACAUUUUUCUUUCCUUCACUUGAUUUUACUCCAUGCAUAUUAAGGCAUGAGUAGUGAUAACUGCUGAUAAAUUUCAAAUUAUAUAUCCAAUUGGCAAUAAGUCGCUCAAAUCUUAUUCUUUCUGGUCCUUAUCCUCAGCAAUAAAAUCUCAGUGCAUGUCUCAUUAGAAGUUAGCUCCUAAAAAGUUGUUCAAUGUGUCAUAUGAGUCCCCGGGAAAGAGGGGUCCAAGAUAAAAAAUUGAUUUUGAGGGAUCUGAACGCUCGUGUUAAGUGUCCGAUAUUCAUUUGAUGAAAUAUUGGAAGAUCAAUUCCAUGUUGACCCUUGUUAGCUAUUGUAUCUUCUCAACUUCUGAUUUGUUUUCAAAUCAAUAGUUCUUCUGCAAUGCUGUAAUUGGUACUUGAAAAAUGGACUGUAGUACUAAUAUUUUGAUCAAAUCAACUCUAUUCUCACUCUUUCUAGAUUCUAAUUCUUUUUUUUUUAGUUAUAUAAAAUAAUAAUAGACAUUUCAUGUAUAAUUAAAUUAAUUUCUCUUCUAUCAUAAAUUUCAGAAUCAUAUAUUUUUUAUUCUCACUUGUUAAGGAAAAAAUUAUACAGAAUAUCUAAUUUUAAUUGGAUAUAGAACUAUCUAGGAAUUGCACUGUUGUUUUUGUUCAAAUUUCUAUCAUGCUUCAAGUGUAUUUCAGGGAUCCAUGUUCUGUGAAUACCACAAGAUAGCUUUUAACCAGUGCAGUGCGGCAGUCUGGCUACUGUCAUUAGUCAGCUCCAUUUAUCAUAUUCUGCAUGUGAGUAAUAUAAUAUAACAUUCCCCUUUGGGUGAAAUUUCGUUUGACAUGAAUAGAUAGUGGAUUUGCCCUCAGCUUCCAUUGGUUCAAUGGUAUGUGGAUGAAAAAUACUUUGUUUAAUGUGUGGUUUCUAUAUUUUCCAAUGCAGGAUGCAUGUUUUGAAUUUAUGGCAUCUUCCUUGUCAUUGGUGGUAAUUACCUUUAUUAUUCAAGAUUUUUGUGUGGUCAGUGUUGCAUUUUACGGGAUUAAUUUUGUUAAUGGGUACUUUUUGACACAGUAUUUCUUAUAGGAAUUAGUAUUUUUCAGUAUGAUAUUAUAUUGAUAUCGUGAAGCAGGUGGACAGAGCAUUGUUAUUAGAAUUGGUGAUUUCUGAAUAAAUAAGAAGCAAAGAAAAGCUUCUGUUAGUUGACCAAGCUGAUUGGGUGGGGGCGGCAGCCGCCCGUUCAUUACUGGUUGAUUGGUUAUAACUUUUGAGACUGUUGACUUGUUUCUUACAUUGUUGACUGAGCUGCGAUUUUAUGGAGUUAAGGAAUUCUUCCAUUUCCUGAAAUUUUAACUGAAUCGUGAUUUGAAUCCUUUUUUAAUGGAUGAGGAGGUGUAAAAAAUGAAACAAGUCAUAAUUUCUUUUACUUAUAAAAAUUUACAACUAAUCCUAGAAUUCUUUUGACCUAUGCUAAUCUUUGCAGCACAGUGAUGAACACCAGGUAGCAUGAAGUAGAACUAGUAAGAUGUAUUUACUCAACUAAUUAAUUCACCUAUAGUCGCGUAUCAAACCUUCAGGUUGUAGUGGUGCUAUGUGCAAAAUAGUCUCUGCUGCUGGUUGAGGUGGUGGUUGCGAUGUGGUAACCUUGCUACAACCAACAAUCUUCUGGCAGGUCUGGAGGAGGCAGUUUCUGCAGGUAGGGCAGGAGGAAUGCGAGUUUAGCCACUUAUCAAUGCAGCGGACGUGGAAUCCAUGGUUACACUUGGGCAGAAGCCUCAAGUGCUCGCCGGAUGCAAACUCAGAGAGGCAAAUGGCACACUUGUUGUCCAGCUUCACUCUGCUGAGUAGUUUACAGUUGGGAAAGUCUUUAAAGCCUUUUUCUUGAUCCCAGUGUUGGCUAAACGAGCUGAGGGGUUGCCACUCGUCUCAGAAGCCACUAAGCUUGAACAUCUUAAUGCACACUUUAUGAUGGAGUUAAGUCCCAGGGAGCAAAUUAGAGCACAAAGGAGGACUGAGAGAACCAUAACAACAUUAGCGUCAAAGCCAUUGCUGGCACCAUAGGGAUCAGAUGGGUCAUGGCUGUUACUGGGGGGAGGAGCUGCUGCUGUUGGUAGAUGCUGAAGGUUUUGUGGUAGUAAUCUUCGGGAGUAAAAUACUGGAUGUUGGAAUAGUUGAGUGGAUAUAGAAGAGGAAGCAGACAUGGUUUAGAGAGUUUUGAUAGUUGAGAUAACUUCUUGCUGCUUGCUGCAUAAGAGGGAUGACAUAAAUAUAUAGGGUUGAAGUUUCUUCUAUCGAGCAUUAUGUUAUAUUAUAUUAUAUAUAUAAAUAUUAUAAAAAGAUUAUUCACAUGUGAAAUGUAGUUAAGAGAAUAUGCGAAGGUUUUUUUUUUAGCCCCACAUACAGGUUUAAUCUUUUGAUUUUAUUUUUGCAGGUUUUGGAAUCAUACGGACACAUUCCACUGAGCUUUACAUAUUUUAAUUGGCGUCCCAGUGAGGAUUGGUGGCUUGUGUGAAAGUGACACGUGGUGGCUAUCUUGGCAAAUUGCAUCUGUAAAUGCUGCUGGGGACCCAGUGGCCUGAGAAGCAGCCAUGAAGGUUCCGAUAAUACGUUUGUGGAGAUGUAAUUUUAGAGGGAUGGGCAUCUCUUUUGAUCUCUUCUUUUUCUAAAUUUUUUGUUUUCAUAUAUGCAGCUUAAAGUGAUAGACAUGCCAGAUCUUUUUUGAGUCAGACUCAACUCAACGUGAUUUUCCCUGUGAGUUAUUGCUCUUUCAUUUCAUGUUAGUGCUUGCAACUUCUAGUCCGUUUUCAGCUUGUUCAAUUUUCUGUUGCAUGACAAGUUAUUGCAGGGUCCCAUAUAAAGGAACGAGAUUGAUUGGUACUACUCGUAUAUAUAAAUGUUUUUGAUAUAAUUUUUGUUCCAACUAAAUUAGAAUGUUCCCACUAAUUUUAAUUAAAGUUUAUUAAUAAUAACUUCAAUAAUUAAAAAGGAAAUUAGCUAACACCAAUUAAUCUUGAAAAACUGUAAGCCACUUUGGUUUUAAGCCUAUCUGUCAUUCUCAGUUACUAUUAACUCUCAUAUUCGUAUCUUUAGUACACAAUACAACACAGCCAUCUGCAGCUGCCUGCUCCUUUUCAUUUUUGAACCUGUCAAUGACCGUGAAAUUAACAUUAAAGAAAGCCAUUUCCCUCUCCCUUUUAGAUCUCUUAUUUUGUUUUCUUUGCACGCCGUGAUCUUUUCCUGAUUGCAAAUCUAAGUAUAAUCCAAAUAAAUUAAUUAAUAUGCUCCUCUCCUUCUGCCUCCAAAUUAACUAAUUUUCUUUUCCAGAUAGUUUGUUGUUUAAUUGGAAUCUUUUUGCUUUUAUGAAAAAUCAUAAGGGUACUCUUUUUUUAAUGAAAUAUCAAGUGGGUGCUUUUUUUCUUUCUUUUUUUUAAAUAUUAAAUGGGUUCUUCAUGGUAAUGUGGAAAGAAUUACGAGGUUGAUUUCUUGAUCUACUUUUGUGUCCUGUAGUUUUGCCUUCAAAACCCACCUGUACAACAUGUACAAAAAGUUGAGACAGCAAGUUCAUAAUAAUAUAGGUACUGUUUUUAUUUUCAGAGAAUUAAUUAAGUUUAAUAAGAUCUCAGAGGGAGUUUGCUCCUUUUUUUUUUUUAAAAAAAAAAAAUUAUAAAAUUAAAAAAAUGCUUCACUUUAUGGUUUUGCGCUAAGUGUCGGUUGAAAUUUGUAUCUUCUUGGUAAGCUGGAUUUCACUAUAUAAUUGUUGUGUCUUUAUAUGCUGAUCUGGGAUAAAUAAAGAAUAUUCCUUGUUGUAGAAUAUCAUACAAAUAUGAAUGUCGUGCAUGUGCGAUACUCCCAUUGAGGUUGUUGUUCAUCACUUAAAUUUACUUAUGAUUAUAUUCUCAUGAUUAAGGACUUAGAAAAUUGGAAGGAUAGAGCACUAUAAAAGCAAUCUAUUCCUACUUUAGAUAUUUACGCUGUUUAAUUUCAUUUCCAUUUUAUUUCUAGUAAUUUUUGAUUAUAAAUUAUAUCAAAUAUGUAUAGCUUUUACUAAAUUAAAUAUUAGUAUUUACUGUACAGAACAUGUAUUCUCAAAAGAGCCGCAAGUGAAACAAUAUUCUUCAUAUGUAUUAUUAUCAACACUAUUUUUUUUUUUUUUAAUUUUUAUUGUCCUUCAAAGUUCUACUUAUCGAGAGUGUGAGUUAUUAUUGAAUCCUGCUCGCACAUUAAAAGAGAGAGAGAAAAGAAAAACCUUUUGCUCCCAUUAUGAAAUCCACGCUGCCUCCUUUAGAACAAAAGAAAAAGAAUGAUAAGGGUACAUCACCACCAAUUCUCCAUUGUACAUCAUUACAGUGCUCGAGAUGAAAAUAACUGAAAGCUGUAACUCAAGAGACAUGGGAGUGCAUUAUGAGAAUUAGCAAAAAGGUUGAAUAUCUGCUUCACAAGAACAUUAUGAAAUGCUUUUUAGAGGUAGUGAAAAAUAAUUGAAAGAAACUUUAUGAAAAGCAAAUUUCCUUACAUAAUAAAAGCUUUUUAUGGAUAACUUGUCCAAACAUAUGGUGAAAAAUGUGCUUAUAUCUGUGUGGAAAUCCUGCAGAAAAUGUGGAAGCAGCAUCUUUUCUCUGGAUAAAGAAGCAUAUUGGUGUACACUGGCAGGUAGCUAAUGACUCUGAAUUGUUUAACAUUAAGGUUUAAACAGACAGAAAGAAGUUUUAGGAAAAGUAAUGAUGAGAAGUUAGUAAAGAGAGAAAUUCUUAUCAAAUUAGUAUUGAUGGAUGGUGGGAGUUGUAAAGUGGUCAGGGUAAAGAUAUACCUAAAACACAAAGGCUAGAUACAUAGCAUAUAACAGCAAUAAAGAUCAGUAGCUGAAACUUUUGUGUGACGUGAAAUAGGCUUGCUCUCAAUUAUUGUAACCAAUUGUUGAUAUCCAAAAGAAUACAAAGGAAAAGAAUAUAGGACAACAGAAAGUAGCUUUUCUAGUGUACUGCUUCACAUCAUUGCUGCAUGUUACUUGAUCCGGAUUGGAGUUUUCUACAAGCAGCCUAAAGGGUUAGCAUUUACUAUUGCUCCUUGUUUGGAUAUAUUAACAAAGUUCAUUUUUUUUUGGGUGAUGAGGAAUCUUCUUCCGUUCUUUUGAUGUUAAAACACAAUCUUGAUUUUUGAGGUGCCUUCUUUAAUUCUCCAUUGAACAUUGAAGUUCAAACACCUAUCAAAAGUAUUAUUAAUAUGUGACUUGUAUAGUAUAUCUUGGACUAUCACAAUCUUCAUCUCUUAAACUUUGAUGUUCUGAUCAAGCAAUUCC